CUGCCAGGGCUUUCCCUACACGCCAGGUUGUAGACUGCAGAGCCGCGCCCACGGCCUGCCUGGGUGCAGGGGGUACCCGAUGCCACCUGCCUCUCUGGGGCUGCAGGGGGCACCGGUGACGGGGCGCUGCCAGGUACCUGCCUCCCCUCUCUGCUUGGGUUUUGCAGGACUCAGGUGGCCUUGGACAUGAGUGCUGUGAUGGGGGCCUUGCAGAGAAGGCAACCUCAGGCUCCCUCCCACACAAGGUGCCCUAUCCCUGGAGGUUUCCGGAACAGGACUCCACGGCAGCAGGAGUGACCUGGGAGAGAGCUUGGGCCGAGCUUCCUGCCUGCAGGGGCUUCCAGGCCGGGCACAGAGCAGGAAGGCCCGACCCCAGCCCGGCCGGACACCUGCCUGGCACAGGACGCUCCACGACAAGCCAGGUCGGGCUGACUCCACCUGCCUGCCCACCCCCCUGCUGUGCGGCCACCUGCUCCAGGGCUAGGAGCCCCAGCGGCCCUGGCCUCUGGCACAGGCCUGGGCACAGAUGGCCCUGCAGGCGCACGUCCUCAAUCCUUGGGGGCAGGGGCCGGCAGGCAUCCAGGUCCCCAAAGUUCUGUCCCCGUAUCCUUCCCAGGGUCGCCCGUCAGUGGGUGGGCAGACAGGAGGGUGCAGGGCUGCUGCCCCCCAGAGCACAGUGGGUUUCUGUGGGGAGGGGUUCAGGGUCACUUCCGAGGCCCUGGUUUCACAUUCUGCUGACAGCCCCACCCUUUCCUGAGGGCACACAGACUUUCCUGGGGGAUGAGCCAGCGUCCCUGUUCCCUAGGGGAUUCCACCUCCCUGCGGGGAGAGGGGGGACUACCCAGGUCACCCAGAGUGCGGCCAGGGCUCCUGGCCAGCCCCGGUGGGCCACCAGCUGCCCAGCGGCCUGGUGAGCACAGUGUGGGAAGGAGGCCUCAGGGGUCUCGUGAACCGCCCUAAUCUUAGACCCGCUCGUGGAGCCCUCCCACAGUUCUCUUCCUGGCCAGCAAGAAGGGGUGACCCUGCGACAGGACAGGCAGAGACGAGGGGGCAGGGGCAGGUUGGGGUCUGGGGCCAGGUGGGCCAGGGAGGCGGCUGCUGGCCACAGCUGCGCUCUGCUGGAGGUGUGGGUGGGGUGGAAGCUGGGUGGGGGCCACACCGAGGGCCAGGGGCUCGGGGAAGGGAGGAUGGGCUGUGCCAGCUGUUGCUGUAAAGGGCAGGCGGCUUCCUCUUUCCAUGAGGGCGCGCCUGGCAUCCGCCUCCCCGGAUAAGGGCCCAGCGCUCGGCCUGCGGUUGGCCCCUUUGACCACAGGACGCUGGGUAGGGGCUGGGGGGGCCAGACUGUGGCUCUGGGACCGGCAGACUAGAGGGGUGAGGACCCCAAGACACAGGCAGGCACAGCUGAGAGCCCAGGGGGCCGGGGUGGGGCCCGCAGCUGCCAGUGACGGAGCAGAAGUGAAAGCCGGGGGGUGGGAGCCACGGGGCAGGGACAGAAGCUGGGGAGCCGAGGAGGUUCUCAGGAGCACCCCGCCCUGGGCUCACGUCACCCCAGGCCUCGGGGGGACUUGGGAACUGGCCCCAACGUGGGCGGGGGGCCCGCCGAGAGCUGCCGGUGCAGGGACACUUUCUCCAAACCAGGGCCCUGGGCAAAGGCCAGGCUGGGGGAUGGCCCCGUGGGUCCCUACAGAGGCCCUUGCUGGUGUGACAGUCCCAAGCCUGGGGACUCAGAGGUGGGGGGGUGGGGCAUGGGGCUGCCAGGAAUUCCCGAGGAGGGGUCCCUCCCUCCCCGAGGGUCUGAUCUCCUCUCUCUGAGCCCUCGGGGUGCCCUGACCCCUUCAGCAUGGGCUCGGGAAGGGGGUUCUGAGCUCAGACGGCUCCCAUCCUGUCUUCUCUGGGCCGGGGGUGCCCAGAGCCCUUUAAUGCCAUCAGGUCCCACCCAGAGGUGAACCCAGAGGGAAGCCCAGGGCAGCGCAGGAAGACCGCUGAGCCCGGAGCCCCCGGGAGCUGCCACCGGCCCAGCUCCAGGCCCCCGACGGGCUGAGCACCACGCUGGCCGGGCGGCAGAUCUGGACACCGGACAUCACCCCCAGUCACACCACCCAACCCUGCUGGGCUCAGUGGAGGUCGUGAGGACGACGUCCGUGUCCAGCAUUGGGAGUGGCAGGGCCUCAGCUGCCCUCAACUGGCGUCCAUGCCUGCAGGACCCCCGACGGGCCGCAGUGGACGGCUGACCACUCAGGAGACCCCAGAAGAUAGUGCUGCGCGGCACCCUGGAUGUCCAGGCAGAGGCAGCGGUCAGGUGGACGAGGGACCGCACGGCCCAGUAACGUGGACACAGUGUCUGGCCACCGGCCUUUCUCCCUCUCUCCUCCCCGCUCUGGGUGCGUGGGCCAGGAGCGCUCCCUGGGGGCCGUGCCUGCCUCAUAUCUUGCAGGGCAGUGCCCCAGGAUCCAGCCCUGCCCGGGGAAGGGGGCCCUCAGAUUCUAACUGAUGGCCCUACAGCUCAGUGGAAGGCCACUCCUGAGAGGGACAGGAGUCAAGCCCAGGUGACACCUGCAGCGAGGGGGGCAGAGGGCAUCGGGCCCAGGGCCCCAGGCAGCGCUCUCGGGUCCACUGCGCGGGCGGGAGGGGCGGGGCUACAGCUUAGGGCCCCGCCCACCUCCCUUCCCCUGACCUGUCCCCGCCCCUAGGUGGCACCCCAUGACCCUGGACCUCGGGGCUGCUUUCUCCUGGGCCCAGCUGUCCCCGCCCCAGCCUGGCCUGGGCGGAGUGGGCUUAUGCUUCCACACUGCAGCCCUUCGUGUCCCCCCUCCCUGGGGGCUCCAGGGGAGCACUUCUGGGCCCAGGUCUGGGGGGCUUCCCAAGGCUGGGGGGAGGAGUAGGGACCCGGGAGCCCUCCCAGGCUGCGGUGCGUUUUCUCCAGGUGACCUGGGAGGCCCCACGGCCUGGGCUGGGAGGCCGGACCUGGGUGGCCAAAGGAAGCCUUAGUGAGGUGGCACUCUGGGGCCCAGAACCGGGGGCGCGGCGGUCCUGGGGAAGCCCCUAGGUAGUCGGGCAGGCGGCUGGUGGCCCUCUGCUCAUCCUUCAGGGCAGCACAUUGGGGUCUGCGGUUCUGAUGCCACCUGGCCCCCUCCCCGUUAAAGACAUGGGGCAACUCUGCAGGGAGCUGGCCGUCUACCCCGGGGUGGGGGGGCCGGCCUCCAGGCCCCAUGGGGGACAGGCCAGGAAGGGCCCCCAGCCGACGCCCACAGUACAAGGAGGAGCCGCAGCUUGGCGUGACCUGGAGGGAGAGGGAUGGAGGGCGCCCCAGCUGGGACCUGCCCGCUUGUGCCCCGUGUCCACUUGGGUUCAGUGGAGACUGAAAGGCCCCAGGGUCUGAUCGACCGGAAGACAGGCGCCCCUUCCUGGGCUCAGGCCUAGAUGGUGGCUGGAGAGGAGGGGUUCUGGGGUGGCCAGGCGAGCGAGUCCUUUAUCUUACGAUGUCAUCUGUUUGGGGAGGGGCGCCAAAGGACUAACGGGUACACAGAGAAAUAGAGAAAUAUGCCAAGCUGUUUUUUUCUUUUUAAAUCAGGCAUUUAUAAACAAGAAAGCAUACAUUAAUUACAUAAAAAUAGUUUUCGAAUAGUGAGUAAGUCAUCAUAUUGUCAUUAGCAGCAGCAAAGGAGAGAAGGGGACGGUGAUGCAGACGCUCCUGGCGGGUACGAGGGUGGAGCUGUGGUUUUUUUCCUUAAUUGAAAAAAAAAGUGUCAUUUGUGACUCCUGACUUAAAGCAAGAACAAGAUGGCCUCCCCGAGCCUGGUGGGCGCGGCGGGCGGUGUCGCCCAGAAAACCGGCUCGAGCCGGUGGGCAUGUUCUGCCUCAGGUAGAAAUAACCCAGAAAACAAGACAGCUACCAGGUAAGAAGAGAGAUCCGGCAAAGGACCCACCACGUAUACGUAUGAUACACGAGUAUCAGAGGAAAAAGUAUUUACAUGGUCGCUUUGUACAUCGGCGAGUUCUGUACGAAAAGCAAGAUAUCAUGUGAGUGAGUUAGCUGCUCCAUAGAUAAUGAAUGUUAUUGCUGUUGUUUUUUCCCUUCGUUAAAAGUCUUCUUUCAGCAUAGAAAUAAUGAGUGAUUAAACUGAAUACACGAUCAUUUCGAUAAUGGGUAUUACACACGGGGAGAGUCAACAGCCUACGGGAGAGUGCCUCUUCAGCAAAGAAACUCCAACUGCAGCCGCACGGCAGGAGCCCGGGGACCCUGCCCCCGAGGACAAGCGUGGACAGCCCCAUGGCCGGCCUCGCCCAGGGGCCGCCAACGGCGCUGGCAGGCCAAGGGACCUCGGGGCGGGCCUGAGUCCACCACCCCACCUCCAGCUCUUCCCGACAUCUGGGGACCAAGCCGGACAGUGGCGGCGUAGACCCGAUGGCCGAGACGUGCGGGUGACCGGAGGGGACAGAGCGCGGGCAAGGAGGCGCAGCGGCCCCCACUCGCAACUUGGAAAAAUGUAUCUCCCUCUGGAGCCUAAAAACUCAGAAAGUAAACGGAGCAAAGCAGGUGGCCUCGGGCGGGUCCCGGGGGCCCUGCGAUCUCACUACGGAUUUUCAGACUUGGCAACAGAGCACAGCCGCACAGAAGCACACUGACACACGCUUCACGCUUUGCUCCAACUACAUCAUUUACUUUCCCUUGAAGAAAUGACCGCAAAAACACAACUCUGGAAAAACAAAGCUAAACACAGCAUUCUGAGUGUUGCGUGACACAACCGACCCUCUACACGACACGGUAAUAAUGCCCAUCGGUGGAUAUACGUAUGGCAGAGGUUUUAAAUUCCAUGCAUACAGAUUUAAUAACUGCAAAGAAAAACAGAAGCAAAAAAAUUAAAAAACAAAAAAGAAACAAAAAACAAACAACAACAACCAAACAAA